rnacentral:rRNA from 1 species
UACGUAGGAGACGAGCGUUGUCCGGAGUUACUGGGCGUAAAGGGUGCGCAGGUGGCGGUGCGCGUGGGGGGUGAAAUCGCCCGGCUUAACUGGGCGGGGGCCUUCCAGACGGCGUGGCUUGAGCAGCGGAGGGGGACGUGGAAUUCCGGGUGGAGCGGUGAAAUGCGUAGAGAUCCGGAGGAACACCGACGGCGCAGGCAGCGUCCUGGCCGAUUGCUGACACUGAGGCACGAAAGCUGGGGGAGCAAACAGG